rnacentral:rRNA from 1 species
AUUGAACGCUGGCGGCAUGCCUUACACAUGCAAGUCGAACGGCAGCACGGGGGCAACCCUGGUGGCGAGUGGCGAACGGGUGAGUAAUGCAUCGGAACGUGCCCAGUAGUGGGGGAUAACUAGUCGAAAGAUUAGCUAAUACCGCAUACGACCUAUGGGUGAAAGCGGGGGACCUUUACCGGCCUCGCGCUAUCGGAGCGGCCGAUGUCUGAUUAGCUAGUUGGCGGGGAACGGCCUACCAAGGCGACGAUCCGUAACUGGUCUGAGAGGACGACCAGUCACACCGGAACUGAGACACGGUCCGGACUCCUACGGGAGGCAGCAGUGGGGAAUAUUGGACAAGUAGGGGAAACCCUGAUCCAGCGACGCCGCGUGGGUGAAGAAGGCCUG